rnacentral:rRNA from 1 species
GACGAACGCUGGCGGCGUGCCUAAUACAUGCAAGUAGAACGCUGAAGGAGGAGCUUGCUUCUCUGGAUGAGUUGCGAACGGGUGAGUAACGCGUAGGUAACCUGCCUGGUAGCGGGGGAUAACUAUUGGAAACGAUAGCUAAUACCGCAUAAUAGUAGAUGUUGCAUGACAUUUGCUUAAAAGGUUCAAUUGCAUCACUACCAGAUGGCCCUGCGUUGUAUUAGCUAGUUGGUGGGGUAACGGCUCACCAAGGCGACGAUACAUAGCCGAACUGGGAGGGGGGUCAGCCACACUGGGACGGAGACACGGCCCAGACUCCUACGGGAGGCAGCAGUAGGGAAUCUGCGGCAAUGGACGGAAGUCUGACCGAGCAACGCCGCGUGAGUGAAGAAGGUUUUCGGAUCGUAAAGCUCUGUUGUAAGAGAAGAACGAGUGUGAGAGUGGAAAGUUCACACUGUGACGGUAUCUGACCAGAAAGGGACGGCUAACUACGUG